rnacentral:misc_RNA from 1 species
GUAACUACUGAUAUUGCAUUUCGCCGACGGAACUAAGUGGCAUUUGAGCGAUUAAUUUGUGAAGCUGAGUUGAGAAGAACAUCCACUUGGAGGGAUUAUCGCGUAAUAUUCCAGGUAAUGUACAGGUUCUGCGAGGAGAUCGAGCCACACGUGCAAAUGGGGUAGGGGGGGUAUUUCAAAGCUUCACAGUUAGUGACAAACGGGCUUUUCCUUUUACGCGAAACUUUAUGAACGAAGAAAUGUCGGCGGCACUUUCUGCUGAAGCUUUUAGCCUGUAAAAACCCAACUGAUACCGAAGAUGUCAAACUUCUUGCAAACACGAGAUCCCAUGUAAGAAAACUGACGAAGGAUGGUUAUACAUAUAUAUUAUAUACAACACCUACACUUUUGGAGAAAAAUAAAGUGAA